AUUCGAGAGCAAAAUCCACUAAAACAGGGAUUGAAAC
rnacentral:other from 1 species